ACAACCUUCUCCUGUUAAUAUCCGGUAGGGACGUGCCCUCCUGCCACUUCCCUGAGGUCCACAGGCCUGUUUCUGAGCCCGUGACUCCCCCAAGGCUCGGGGGACAAACGACACUUGGGGAGGCCCCCGUCACUCCUGCCCCCAGCCCUCCUAGGUGUGUGGAGUGUCCGACCCCACCCCAGGGAAGCCUCCCGUCUCCUCCCGACCUGCCCGUGUGGCUGGUGUCGCUCCCGAAGGCUGGGUGCUCAGCGUCCCCCUUCCUGCCACACGCUCCUCGAAGCCCUCGGGCCAGGCCCCUGCCCUCCACGCGGCCGGCAGAAGAGCACGUCUCGGUUUCAGCUACACCUGCCAGCUUCCAGAAGCUUAAAACAGGAGUGAGGGGCUCACCAGGCAGAGGCCGUGCGGCUCUGCACGGUGCCUCCCACCUCUGCCCUGCUCCUUCCGCUUGCAUCACACCAUCCAGACAGGCUGGCGUCUGUCUGCUCUAAGCUGUUCCUCGUGGGCGACCACGCGCCUGCGGGGAGUGGGGCCCGUUCGGCGGGCGCGUCCCUGCCCCCUGGCCCUGCCGGCCCCCUCAGAGCCGCAGUUCUCCAGGCGUCAGCAGCCACUGUGACUCGGAGGGACUCCACGCCCCUCCUCAUCCAUGUUCCAUUUAAUCGAGGGCAUCUUACAUGAGAGGGGCUGCGUCCCUGCAACACGGUGUCCUCCAGGCCCUCGGUGUCCGACACCCUCGUUCCUGCCGGCCGCAGCCAGCACUGGCCCUCCAGCAGGACGGUGUGCCCCCAGGACGAGGCACCAUGUUCAAGCUCCUCACAAAGCCCCACCCCCGACACCAGGGCUCCACUCUGGCUUCUCUGUCAGCUGGCUUUAAAAAGCAUGAAAAUGUACGCAGUGUUUCAAAGGCGUGUGUCAGGACCUCCUAGGAUGGCAGCCUCGCGUGUGGCACUGAAGCCCAGGGCCGGGUUGGAGCCCAGCCGAGCGGGUGCAGAGCCCGGGGUGGCAGAGCCGUUGGGCCACGGAGCACAGCUCGCUGCUGAGCAAACUCCCACACGACCCAGAGGCGGUGAAUCAUUAGCAUGUGGUAAAGCACCUUUUAUGGCGUUUUGAUUGACAGUGAGCACCAGCUGGAUAAAAGAUUAUCAGGUGCACUAAAAGGUGUAAUUACUUGA